rnacentral:rRNA from 1 species
UACGUAGGGCCCAAGCGUUGUUCGGAUUUACUGGGCGUAAAGGGCCCGUAGGCGGCUUAACAAGUCACUUGUGAAAUCUCCGGGCUUAACUCGGAACGGCCAAGUGAAACUGUUAUGCUAGAGUGCGGAAGGGGCAAUCGGAAUUCUUGGUGUAGCGGUGAAAUGCGUAGAUAUCAAGAGGAACACCUGAGGUGAAGACGGGUUGCUGGGCCGACACUGACGCUGAUGCGCGAAAGCCAGGGGAGCAAACGGG